rnacentral:lncRNA from 1 species
AAUGCCUCUCAUGCGAUUCUUGUUAUACGAGGUUAGACCGCCCUUGCACUGACUUUGACAGUAGGGAGAACCACAAUAGUUACGUGUGGUUCCACACCAGCCCCAUAUACUACAGCACACUCCAGUAGGACAUGCUCUACCAGCAGCUUGCUUUCCGCAUCGUCCCUGUGGGAAUGGUGGGGGUGGGGGUGGUGGAGACGGGGGUGGUGGUGGCCUUUCUCACUGACUUUGACAUUCUUCACGAGAACAAUAGAUUGAAGUGGUUCCACACCAACCAGAGAGACUACAACAUAAUCCAGUAGGACAUUUCCUCCCACCAGCUUGCCAUCCACAACGUCCCGAUGGAUAAGGUCCUGAACAUUGGCUUUGACAGUGUGCAGGAUUACAAUAUCUUUCUGUGGUUCC